GAAUCUUGCACAAUGGGGGAAACCCUGAUGCAGCGACGCCGCGUGAGUGAUGAAGCCCUUCGGGGUGUAAAGCUCUUUCGGCAGGAACGAUUAUGACGGUACCUGCGGAAGAAGCUGCGGUUAACUACGUGCCAGCAGCCGCGGUAAUACGUAGGCAGCAAGCGUUGUUCGGAGUUACUGGGCGUAAAGGGUGUGUAGGCGGUUUCGUAAGUUCGGUGUGAAAUCUCCCGGCUUAACUGGGAGGGUGCGCCGGAAACUGCGAAGCUUGAGCAUGGGAGAGGGAAGCGGAAUUCCUGGUGUAGCGGUGAAAUGCGUAGAUAUCAGGAGGAACACCGGCGGUGUAGGCGGCUUCCUGGACCAUUGCUGACGCUGAGACACGAAAGCGUGGGGAGCAAACAGG
rnacentral:rRNA from 1 species